GAUGAAGAACGCAGCGAAAUGCGAUAAGUAAUGCGAAUUGCAGAAUUUCCGUGAGUCAUCGAAUCUUUGAACGCACAUUGCGCCCUCCAGCAUUCUGGAGGGCAUGCCUGUCCGAGCGUCAUUUCAACCAUCAAGCCCCAGGCUUGUGUUGGAGAUCUGUGGGCUGCCCGCAGGCUCUCAAAGACCGUGGCGGCCACUUCGAUAUGAUCCGGGCGUAGUAAAUUCUCUCGUCUGGGAUGCACGAAGGGCUGGCCGUUAAACAUCAUAAUUCCAAGGUUGACCUCGGAUCAGGUAGGAAUACCCGCUGAACUUAAGCAUAUCAAUAAGCGGAGGA
rnacentral:misc_RNA from 1 species